AGUGAACGCUGGCGGUAGGCCUAACACAUGCAAGUCGAACGGCAGCACAGUAAGAGCUUGCUCUUACGGGUGGCGAGUGGCGGACGGGUGAGGAAUACAUCGGAAUCUACUUUUUCGUGGGGGAUAACGUAGGGAAACUUACGCUAAUACCGCAUACGACCUACGGGUGAAAGCAGGGGAUCUUCGGACCUUGCGCGAUUGAAUGAGCCGAUGUCGGAUUAGCUAGUUGGCGGGGUAAAGGCCCACCAAGGCGACGAUCCGUAGCUGGUCUGAGAGGAUGAUCAGCCACACAGGAACUGAGACACGGUCCAGACUCCUUCGGGAGCCAGCAGCCGGGAAUAUUCUACAACGGUCGCAAGUCUGAUCCAGCCAUAGCGUGGGGGUGAAGAAGACGUGCGGGUUGGUAAGCCCUUUUGUUGCGAAAGAAAAGCAGCAGGUUAAGACCCCGCUGUUCUGACGGUACCAAAAGAAUAAGCCCCGGCUAACUUCGUU
rnacentral:rRNA from 1 species